GAUGAACGCUGGCGGCGUGCCUAAUACAUGCAAGUCGAGCGAACAGACGCGGAGUUUGCUCCUUUGACGUUAGCGGAGGACGGGUGAGAAACACGUGGAUAACCUACUUAUAAGACUGGGAUAAUCUCGGGAAACCGGAGCUAAUACCGGAUAAUAUAUUGCACCGCAUGGUUCAAUAGUGAAAGACGGCUUUGCUGUCACUUCUAGCUGGAUCCGCGCGGCAUUGGCUAGUUGGUACGGUAACGGCUUAUCAAGGCGACGAUGCGUAGCCGACGUGAGAGGGUGAUAGGCCACACUGGAGCGGGGACACGGACCAGACUCCUGCGAGAGGCAGCAGUAGGGAAUCUUCGGCAGUGGGCGAAAGCCUGACGGAGCAGCGCCGCGUGAGUGAUGGAGGUCUUCGGAUCGUGAAACUCUGUUAUUAGGGAAGAACAAAUGUGGAAGUAGCUGUGCACGUCUUGACGGUACCUGGUCAGAAAGCCACGGCUAACUACGUG
rnacentral:rRNA from 1 species